rnacentral:rRNA from 1 species
CCUACGGGAGGCAGCAGUGGGGAAUAUUGCACAAUGGAGGGAACUCUGAUCCAGCGACGCCGCGUGAGUGAAGAAGUAAUUCGUUAUGUAAAGCUUUAUCAGCAGGGAAGAAAGUGACGGUACCUGAAACGAAGCUCCGGCUAAAAACGUGCCAGCCGCCGCGUGAAUACGUAGGGAGCAAGCGUUAUCUGGAUGUACUGGGUGUAAAGGGAGAGUAGGUUGCAGAGCAAGUCCGAAGUGAAAACCCAGGGCUCAACCAUGGGAAUGCUUUAGAAACUGCCCAGCUAGAGUGCAAGAGAGGCAAGUGGAAUUCUUGGUGUAGCGGUGAAAUGCGUAGAUAUUAGGAGGAACACCAGUGGCGAAGGCAGCAUGCUGGACUGUAACUGACGCUGAGGCUCGAAAGCGUGGGGAGCAAACAGGAUUAGAUACCCCAGUAGUC